CACUAACGCUGGCGGCAUGCCUAACACAUGCAAGUCGAACGAAGGCUUCGGCCUUAGUGGCGCACGGGUGCGUAACGCGUGGGAAUCUGCCCUUAGGUUCUGAAUAACAGUUAGAAAUGACUGCUAAUACCGGAUGAUGACGUAAGUCCAAAGAUUUAUCGCCUGAGGAUGAGCCCGCGUAGGAUUAGCUAGUUGGUGUGGUAAAGGCGCACCAAGGCGACGAUCCUUAGCUGGUCUGAGAGGAUGAUCAGCCACACUGGGACUGAGACACGGCCCAGACUCCUACGGGAGGCAGCAGUGGGGAAUAUUGGACAAUGGGCGCAAGCCUGAUCCAGCAAUGCCGCGUGAGUGAUGAAGGCCUUAGGGUUGUAAAGCUCUUUUACCCGUGAUGAUAAUGACAGUAGCGGGAGAAUAAGCCCCGGCUAACUCCGUG
rnacentral:rRNA from 1 species